ACGGGGCGGGCGGGGCCGUGACGGGGCGGGCGGGGCCGCCAUGUCGGAGGCGGCAGCGGCGGGGAUGGCGGCGGCCAUGGCGGAGUCGCGGCUGCGGCGGAAGCAGCUGCUGAGCGCGGAGGAGGCGGAGCUGUUCGAGCUGGCGCAGGCGGCGGGCAGCGGGCUGGACCCGGAGGUGUUCCGGGUGCUGCUGGACCUGCUGCGCAUGAACGUGGCGCCGCUCGCCGUCUUCCAGGUGCUCAAGUCCAUGUGCGCCGGGCAGCGGCUGCCGCCGGGACCCGAGGGCGGACCCGCCGCCGCGCCCGCCGCGCUCCCCGCCGACACCCGAGGGCCCCCCGAGGACGGCCCCGCUCCGCUCCCCUCCGCCCUGCGUCCGCCGCGGUUCGGGGCCCGCCCGCCGCUCCCCCGGGCCCGUCCCGCGGCCGCGCCGCCGUCCCGCGGAGCCCCCGGUCGCCCCGCCGCGGGGAAGGGGCCGCGGGGCGGCCCGGCCGGUGCCCGGGGGGCCCGCUCGGUGUGAGGAGGGGGAGCCCUGGCCCCCCGGGCCGCUGCGCCUCCUGCCCGCGCCCUUUUUGCUUAAUUUCCCGUGUUUUUUCGGCGGAGCGGGGUGUUCUGGGGGAGGUUGUUGCCGUCACUUCUGGGUUUUGUAGCCUCCUGGCUCUGCCUUCUAAGGCUAACAAAAUACCCCCACCUUACUACGUAAUAUCGCACAGUGCCACUUCGCUUAUAUCCAACUCUAAAAGAAAGGGGGAGUUUCCUGCACAUUGGGAAUCCCUGAAAAGCGAGGGGAGCUGCGAUGCUUCCUCUGCUCCAUCCGCGGCUCCCCAGGUGGUUUCUGCUGCUUUCUAUGCCGAGGCAGAUGUUAUUGAGGUGGGAACACAAAAUGGGAUGUUCUGUGGGAUUCUUGGCUAAAAUAGUGGCUGCUUUUGUAUGUAACUGCCUUUCGUUAUUGCUCUAACCUCGGUGGACAGUAGCAAAUAUAGCCCUGAAGCUGUGCCACAUAUAUAUUAUUCCACUCUUUUUCAAACCAGUUCUAAUAAAACUUCUCCUUACUCUCUGAAGUCACUUUUGGCUGGGAGCUCGCUACCUCUGUGGGUUGCUUCCAAAAGGUUUAAAAAGAGGUAACGAAAAGAAGUCCGCUCUCACUGAGCUUGAAUUCGCUGUGAAAAGGCUCAGAAAUGCGACAGAAAGGGCACUGGCCGAAACAGCGAGGUUUUGUGAGCGUUGUGGUUGCCAAGACAAAGCCGCCCACCUAGAAAUGGGCAGGGCCGAGUCAAACCGCGGUGUCGUGUCCCUGUUUCAGGGUGAAAACUCUUGUAGCUGAUGGGUCUCUGUUGACUCACGGUGAACUCUGAGGCAAAGCUUGAAAAGUAAAUGACUGUACUGGGAACACAGAGAAUAGGGUGGGGGAAAAGGGCUUUGUCGUCGUGGGCGAGCAGAGCAGGGUGUGGGGAAAAUGGGGUUUCUCUGUUGUGAUAACAUCCCGCGCUCAGUCUGGUCUGUGCUGGGGCUGCCGUGUGGCACGGGACGUUUGUUCUCAUGGCCGCGCUGGUAAGUCCUGUGGAAAGCGAAGGUGAAAGGCAAGAUUCCUUUGGCCAACUAAAACCAGUUGGGUUUAGGAUAAGGGCGAUUUAUGCCACGAUCCGAGGCACUUGUACAGUAGCCAAACCUGCUCCUUCUGGUGUGGAUUCAUACAUGGUACGUGGAUGAGAAUCAAUCACCUCAUUGGGACAGAGAUCCGAGCAAGUUUACCAGAGCACACAUGCGGACAAGUCUCCAGGACUCCCUGGGCUUCCCUGUGAGCAGGUUCCCCGUUCUCAAGAGAUGCUCUUGACUCGGAAUUUCGUGCGGAGAAGUUGGUUGCAGUCAAGAGAACGGCCUUAUUUGUGGUUGAGAAGUGACUCUAAGGAUGCACAGGGGAAAAGGAGACACCCGGCUGACUGCUUGUUCCUGAGCAAAAUGAGGGAAGUGCAAGCACUUGGGUAUUUUAAGUGAGAAGUAGCCUGCUCUUCAGGUACUGAAUUUCGAAAGAGCAGAGAUUUUGAACAAAAAAGAUGCUGUUAAAUUUUGCUCUCUUUUCUUCUCCUUUGUUGAUGCUUCACGUGUGAUGGGCCACGUAAACUAUGAAGGAACUUUGGUAAGGUUUUUGUUCCUGUCUGUCUGUUAAUCUGGAAUAACAUAUGUUCUCUCGUGUGUUCUUUUUCUGGUACUUCGUGUAAAAAUGAGGGUUUAUUUUCUUUUCUGCAGCACUGGGCCACUGCCACGGGCUAGUUUUGGCUAGUAGUGGACCAGCUCAGCUUUGAAACAGAUGGCAACUUGUUUAUUGAUCAGUAUUGAACUUCUCAAGAGGAAAAGCCAGAAAUCACGUAACCAUUGCCUCCUGCCAGCUUGAGGAGCUGCGAGCGCAUUUGAGAGGCCGUGAGUUUCCAGGAGCUUCAUUUGGUCGUACCUGCCUCGAUUGAGGAUGCUCGUUCUGCAUCUUUAGCAGAGCAUCUCCUGGUCCAAGGUGACGCCCGAGUCACGUUGCAGCGCGAGUGUUUCCAGCCAGGCUUUCCUCUCAAGUUUCCCUUUAAAAUCGAUGUGUUGGUGUCAUUGCGUGCGGUGGGACGAGCCCUCGGAGCCGAGGGUGAAGUCCAGACAAAGAUGGUGCUGACUCCACGCUGCUCGUGGUGGACGCUCACAAAAUGAGUCUGGCGUUUGGUGUCCCAGUUGCUGCUUUAUUUCACAAGGUUAAAAUAUGUCUUCGGAGCCGGUUGAUGCUCUGAGGUCACCGGAUCAUUUGCAGCUUAUCGAGAUGGGUGAUUGGUGAUUAUUGAGAUGGGUGAUUAUUGAGAUGGGGGAUUGGACUAGAUGAUCUUUUGAGGUCCCUUCCAAUCCCAAACAUACUGUGAUACUGUGAUCAUACCCAGCAAGCCACAGUUUCACUGCGAACGUGGUAAAACAUCAAAUGCUGAACCUGGAUUUGCUUUCUGUGUAAGCAGGUGCUCAGGAAUGGUGGUAGAGGGGCACUUUGGCUCCUCUCUCUCAUCACGCUUGGUCCUGACCAAAUUCUGAUGGGCAACACCGGCACACCUUGCCAGAAGGUUUGGUCUUCCCAGCUGUGUGGUGGGUUGGUUGGUUGGUUGGUUGGUUGGUUGUUUUCUGGAAGCUCAUGUUAUAUUAGAGCCAUAUCGCACUUUGAAUGAAAACUUCUCUUUUCAGUUUCUGUCAGCCCAGGUGACUUCACUGUCACUCAGCACACACUGGCGUUAGACAGCAGACGAUUCCUUUGUGAGUAAAACCACCAUUGAAAAACUAACCCUCUCAGAAAAUUCGUUGGGCAGAACUUAAGCUCAGUCCCGUGUCCUCCUUUCUGUGAGUAUGCCGAGUACCGGUAAAAUCUCAUUGACAUCAAGAGGAGGACGUGCUUUGUCCAGCUCUCCUUGUGAGAACACAUUUCUGCAGCCUCUGGGUUGGAAGGCAGAUGUCUGCUUGCUGGGAUUUAGGCAGAGGUGGGGUCUGUGUUAGCUAAGUGCCCGGCCUGACCUAAGCUGGACAUCAGGUGCAAGUGAACGAGCUUCUGCAGCUUUAAUUGCAGCUUUGUGCAGAUUUUGGCUGGCUGAUGUCUGGUCUGGAGUGCCAUCCAGACACUUGGAGCGUCCAGGGAGGGUGCGUAGGACUGCUGGUUGAAGGUCGUGCAAGCAAACAGGUGUCCAUAGAGAACUCUGAAUUCAGGCAAAUUGGUGAUGAUCUAAAGCACAACUGGGCCAUCAGUGCCAGCCUUGUCUGUGUUUUACUGGUGCACUUUAGGUUGAAUUAGGAUUAGCUCAAGACAGGAGCUUAUUGUAGUAUAGCCCUUGGAGGAAAGUGUGUCGCUGAAAUAUUAAAACCAGCGUAUCUUCAGCAGAGCAAUUUUCUCUCCUUAAACUGGGGAAACAACCAGCGACCUCAAACUGAAGAGGGGGAGGAAUCGCUCCUCGUUCACUGAGUUUUCUAGUUCUAAGCCCAUCGUUGAGGAGCUGGGGAGAAAUAAAACCAGUUCGGUGAGCGGGACGCAGGCUCUGGGCGAGAGGAGCAGCCGGGAGGGAUCCGCUCAGCGGAUGCCUCGGCAGCCCAGCGCCAACCGGCUGCAGAAAGCAGGAGCUUCUGGAAAGGGCAGCGGAGCGGGCAGCAGCGCCUAAACCAGGCCUUGGAACCCACCUGCUGUGAUGCUCGACAGUGUAUAUAAACUGUGCUGGUUAAAAAUG